rnacentral:rRNA from 1 species
UACGGGGGGGGCGAGCGUUGUUCGGAAUUACUGGGCGUAAAGGGUUUGUAGGUGGUCUGCUAAGUCAGACGUGAAAUCCCUCGGCUUAACCGGGGAACUGCGUCUGAUACUGGAUGGCUUGAGUGUGGGAGAGGGAUGCGGAAUUCCAGGUGUAGCGGUGAAAUGCGUAGAUAUCUGGAGGAACACCGGUGGCGAAGGCGGCAUCCUGGACCAUUACUGACACUGAAAAGCGAAAGCCAGGGGAGCAAACGGG